UACUGAGGAUGCAAGCGUUAUCCGGAAUGAUUGGGCGUAAAGCGUCCGCAGGUGGCAAUGUAAGUCUGCUGUCAAAGCGUCUGGCUCAACCAGAUAAAGGCAGUGGAAACUACAUAGCUAGAGUAAGGUAGGGGUAGAGGGAAUUCCUGGUGUAGCGGUGAAAUGCGUAGAGAUCAGGAAGAACACCCGUGGCGAAAGCGCUCUGCUGGACCUUAACUGACACUGAGGGACGAAAGCUAGGGGAGCGAAUGGG
rnacentral:rRNA from 1 species